AUGCAUGCAAACAAGAGUUCUCCGGUACAAAGCAACAAGAAGGAUGCCGGCGGCGAGGAGGACAUCACCGUCGACCUGCAUCCAUUCAUCCGCGAAUACAAGGGCGGCCGUGUCGAGCGCUUCCUAAGCAGCUCAUACGUGGAAGUGUCGGAGGACGCGGCUGCCAACCGUGGCGUGGCGACCAAGGACGUUGUCGUCGACGAGAGCACCGGCGUGUCCGCACGCCUGUUUCUUCCGGCCGCCGCCGCCGCAACCGGCGAGAGGCUCCCCGUCAUCAUGUACGUCCACGGGGGAUCCUUCUGCACGGAGAGCGCGUUCUGCCGCACGUACCACAACUACGUCAGGUCCCUGGCGGCACGCGCCGGGGCGCUCGUCGUGUCCGUGGACUACCGUCUCGCGCCGGAGCAUCCCGUGCCUGCGGCCUACGACGAUGCAUGGGCGGCGCUUCAGUGGGUGGCGUCCCUUUCUGAUCCCUGGCUUUCCGACCACGCCGACCUCGGGCGCACCUUCCUCGCCGGCGACAGCGCUGGCGGCAACAUCGUGUACAACACGGCGGUACGUGCAGCUAGCGGUGGUGGCAAUGGCAACAACCACAUCGACGUCGAGGGGCUUGUCAUCGUGCACCCAUACUUUUGGGGCGUCGAGCGGCUGUCCAGCUCGGAGCUAGUCUGGGACGGCGUCGCCAUGUUUACGCCGGAGCUCAUCGACAGGCUCUGGCCGUUCGUUACGGCGGGCCGCCUCAACAAGAAUGAUCCCCGGGUCAACCCUCUUGACAAGGAGAUCACCUCGCUGACAUGCCAGCGUGUGCUGGUCGCCGUCGCCGAGAAGGACAGCUUGCGCGACCGCGGGCGCCGGCUGGCAGCUCGCAUGCGCGAGUGCUGCGCGUGGGCCGAUGAUGAUGAGAAGGCGGUGACAUUGGUGGAGUCGGAGGGCGAAGACCAUGGCUUCCACCUGUACAACCCACUGCGGGCGACCAGCAAGGUUCUCAUGGAGAGCAUAGUGCAGUUCAUCAACCAGCGCACCUCAUUGCCACUGCCGGCCGCUCUGCUGCCGGAGCUGCACGAGCUGCAUGCAUACGGUGGUAAGAAGAUGGACCCAUGCUGCUUGCCUAUUCUGGGCGUGCCUGCUCGGCCGUAUAUGGACGUGUUUGGUUAUGGGGUGGCCAUGAAAGCUUCGAGUGUCCCAAAAGGCAUGACACGUACUAGUUGCUUACACGGCGGACAGGGGAGAAGAGCAUCCAAAACUAGAUAUGGGUUAUCUUUGGGCUAUGCUAUCAGGCUUAAUAACAAGACCAACACGAGGUUCUCCUUAUCAGCAACAGCAACACCGGGGACUUGUGUUUCUCACAACUUCAUCUAG
rnacentral:rRNA from 1 species